rnacentral:rRNA from 1 species
UACGUAGGGCGCAAGCGUUGUCCGGAAUUAUUGGGCGUAAAGAGCUCGUAGGCGGUCUGUUACGUCCGCUGUGAAAACCCAGGGCUUAACCCUGGGCUUGCAGUGGAUACGGGCAGACUAGAGGCAGGUAGGGGAGAAUGGAAUUCCCGGUGUAGCGGUGAAAUGCGCAGAUAUCGGGAGGAACACCGGUGGCGAAGGCGGUUCUCUGGGCCUGACCUGACGCUGAGGAGCGAAAGCGUGGGGAGUGAACAGG